ensembl:misc_RNA Telomerase-vert Vertebrate telomerase RNA
GCGACCUGGCGGGCGGCUGCCAGUCUAACCCUGAAUUCUGAGAGCUGUGGGUACUGUGCUUUCGUCUCCGCCCGCUGUUUUUCUCGCUGACUUCCAGCGGGCGGGAAAGUCCAGACCUGCAGCGGGCCAUCGCGCGUUUUCCACCACAAAAAAAUGUCAGCGCUGGGCUCAUGUGCCUGGAGCCUUGCGGCCGGCCGCCCAGCCCCGCACCCGCCUGAGGCCGCGGUCGGCCUGGAGUCCUCGGGCUCCGCUGCCGCCGCGAAGAGCUAGACUCUGUCAGCCGCGGGGCGUCAGGGGCUGGGGCGAGCCCCGGCAGCGCCGCAAGCAGAGAAACGGAGCUGGUCCCGUGAACGGUGACUUCCCUGAGUUGUGGGAAAUGCACCAGGAACUCGGUUCCCACAACC